GUUAUCGAUAUGUGAAUACAUAGCAUAUCAGAAGGCACACCCGGAGAACUGAAACAUCUUAGUACCCGGAGGAAGAGAAAGAAAAUUCGAUUCCCUUAGUAGCGGCGAGCGAAACAGGAAGAGCCCAAACCAACAAGCUUGCUUGUUGGGGUUGUAGGACACUCUAUACGGAGUUACAAAGGACGACAUUAGACGAAUCAUCUGGAAAGAUGAAUCAAAGAAGGUAAUAAUCCUGUAGUCGAAAAUGUUGUCUCUCUUGAGUGGAUCCUGAGUACGACGGAGCACGUGAAAUUCUGUCGGAAUCUGGGAGGACCAUCUCCUAAGGCUAAAUACUCUCUAGUGACCGAUAGUGAACCAGUACCGUGAGGGAAAGGUGAAAAGCACCCCGGAAGGGGAGUGAAAUAGAACCUGAAACCGUGUGCUUACAAGUAGUCAGAGCCCGUUAAUGGGUGAUGGCGUGCCUUUUGUAGAAUGAACCGGCGAGUUACGAUUUGAUGCAAGGUUAAGCAGUAAAUGUGGAGCCGUAGCGAAAGCGAGUCUGAAUAGGGCGUUUAGUAUUUGGUCGUAGACCCGAAACCAGGUGAUCUACCCUUGGUCAGGUUGAAGUUCAGGUAACACUGAAUGGAGGACCGAACCGACUUACGUUGAAAAGUGAGCGGAUGAACUGAGGGUAGCGGAGAAAUUCCAAUCGAACCUGGAGAUAGCUGGUUCUCUCCGAAAUAGCUUUAGGGCUAGCCUCAAGUGAUGAUUAUUGGAGGUAGAGCACUGUUUGGACGAGGGGCCCCUCUCGGGUUACCGAAUUCAGACAAACUCCGAAUGCCAAUUAAUUUAACUUGGGAGUCAGAACAUGGGUGAUAAGGUCCGUGUUCGAAAGGGAAACAGCCCAGACCACCAGCUAAGGUCCCAAAAUAUAUGUUAAGUGGAAAAGGAUGUGGCGUUGCCCAGACAACUAGGAUGUUGGCUUAGAAGCAGCCAUCAUUUAAAGAGUGCGUAAUAGCUCACUAGUCGAGUGACACUGCGCCGAAAAUGUACCGGGGCUAAACAUAUUACCGAAGCUGUGGAUUGUCCUUUGGACAAUGGUAGGAGAGCGUUCUAAGGGCGUUGAAGCAUGAUCGUAAGGACAUGUGGAGCGCUUAGAAGUGAGAAUGCCGGUGUGAGUAGCGAAAGACGGGUGAGAAUCCCGUCCACCGAUUGACUAAGGUUUCCAGAGGAAGGCUCGUCCGCUCUGGGUUAGUCGGGUCCUAAGCUGAGGCCGACAGGCGUAGGCGAUGGAUAACAGGUUGAUAUUCCUGUACCACCUAUAAUCGUUUUA
rnacentral:rRNA from 1 species